GACGAACGCUGGCGGCGUGCUUAACACAUGCAAGUCGAACGGAAAGGCCCUGCUUUUGUGGGGUGCUCGAGUGGCGAACGGGUGAGUAACACGUGAGUAACCUGCCCUUGACUUUGGGAUAACUUCAGGAAACUGGGGCUAAUACCGGAUAGGAGCUCCUGCUGCAUGGUGGGGGUUGGAAAGUUUCGGCGGUUGGGGAUGGACUCGCGGCUUAUCAGCUUGUUGGUGGGGUAGUGGCUUACCAAGGCUUUGACGGGUAGCCGGCCUGAGAGGGUGACCGGCCACAUGGGGACUGAGAGACGGCGCAGACUCCUACGGGAGGCAGCAGUGGGGAGUAUUGCACAAUGGGCGGAAGCCUGAUGAAGCAACGCCGCGUGCGGGAUGACGGCCUUCGGGUUGUAAACCGCUUUCGCCUGUGACGAAGCGUGAGUGACGGUAAUGGGUAAAGAAGCACCGGCUAACUACGUG
rnacentral:rRNA from 1 species